UAUCUUGCUGGAGAUUCCUGCAUAUCUGAGGUCUUCAGAUGGCUGUAGGAUUAAAGAGUGCUUGUGACAAGAGAAAACAGGUCUUCCUUUCUUGAUGCUGUGGCUGAAAUGGGCAGAACAAGAGAAGAGGUCCUCCGUCCUGCAUUAAGGGGUGCCAGAAGUGAAGAGUAGGGCAGGAAAACUGUUGAAAGAGAAGUGGAACUUCCUCCUGUUGGGAAGGCCAAGUGCUGAGGAUGUUACCUAGGAACUGCUGUGAUGCUACACGCCACUCCUUGCAGAAGCUGUCUAGGAGAAGUGGUGACCUCCUGUUGCUUCCUUCCUUCUGCCAGUGACUAGGCAGUGUAACCCUGAUGGAAUAGGAUUAUGAGUUAGUGCAACCAGGAGGGUGCUUGAGGGCUUUGGCAAACCCAGACCACACCACCUUGGCCCACCUCCAGUUUGAACUGAGAAUGGUCUACCACAGGCUGUCAAAUGAUGGAAUAACACAACUUAAGAGUGGAACAGAGGUUUAAAAUGCUGCUGUAGCUGACUGAAACCUCAAAAACUUGUGUGAUUCUUCCACUCCAAAGAUCUGCAAUCACUUCCAGCUGCCUAUCGUGCUGCUUGAUUUACUGCAGUGACUGGAAGAAGAUGAUUUUGGCUGUGGUGAAAUGUUUGUGCAUUAACUGUAAAAACAGAGGAGCUGAAGAAAGGACUCUCUGAAUGAUGCUUAGAGUGUGUAA